rnacentral:rRNA from 1 species
AUGGCGACCCCUUGGUCAUGCCUGAGCAGCAGGACCACUAUGAGGAAUAUGCAAAUUCAGUACAAGAUGCCAGCAUUCCCUGUGUGCUUCCUGUCAUUGUGGUUUGUGAGUUUCCUGCAUCUCCCAACCUCCAGCUCCUUCAUUGUUGAUUUGCCUGAACUGGUUACUACACUAGUUUGCUUGCCAAUAUUGCCUUGGGAUGGAAACAGUAUGCGGCUGCCAUCUGAUCAAUUAUAUGGGCAGAAGAGUAACAUCCGACUACCGGAACACGAUAUGCAUGGGGGGAUUCUGACUGCUUGUGGAAGUACUGUAUUUCAAUGCAAUGUACAUCUGGGAACGAUCCAUGGCAGUUUUGGGAUUGACAAGUUGCAGAGUGGCAUAUCAAUCAAAGCUUGCUGCCCCCAAUUAAAACCUGAACCAUAUGAAGUUACUUGUUGUUCUGCUAUCAGUCUUGCAUUGCAUGCAACAAGCUACUCUUCUGAAAUUUGUGUCCAAGUUCUUGCUGAGAAGAGGAAAUUGUCUUGUGAGCUCUUUCAACCUAGAAUGUUUUGGCCAUACAAGCAGAUAAUUGGUACCCUGGGAAUGCUCUCAUCUGGCGAGGACUUUGAGGUCGGAACUUAUUUUGCAUUCGAGAUGGUAAGCCAUAAUGGUGAAUGGGGCUCUGACCUUGUGCAAUGGAAAAUUGCUUGGCCCAUCUACCUUGCAUCAGCGGAGUCUUGGUUUCCGCCUGGUUUUGCUGGAUGUGAUUCGUUAAUUGGUUGUGACCAUGUUCAAUGGACCAUUGCCUGGUCUCUCGGCUCUUUCCCUGUAUCAAGUCCUCGGACUCGAUCAACAUGUGUCAUUUUCUUGGUGCAGCAUAAUUGUCUACCCAGCUACCAAGGCACCUGGUUCAGUUUUAUGACAGUAUUGUUUGCCAUCCCUCAAUUUGGUGUUGGAGGUAUAUUUUUUCUGAUCAUGAACAAUUCCAGUGGGUAA